rnacentral:rRNA from 1 species
GGCGUGGUAGGUCAGCCUCUUAACGGAUUGAGGUGCCAAACGCGUAGGACGUUGAAGGGUGUAGGUAAGUCCGCACCCCGAGUCCGAAACGUGAUGGCGGUGCCUUAGAGCCACAAGUGAUUGAGCCAUGCCGCCUAGAAAAGCUUCUAAGCGUUGAUAUUUGAGUGACCGUACCGCAAACCGACACUGGUAGGUGGGUAGAAUAUACCAAGGGGAGCGAGAGAACCUUCGUUAAGGAAUUAGGCAAAUUUCCCCCGUACGUUCGCAAUAAGGGGGGCCUCUGGUGGUGAGCUUAAUCGCAAAGCUGCUGGAGGCCGCAGAGAAAUGGCUCUUCCAACUGUUUAACAAAAACACAGGUCUCUGCUAAGUCGAAAGACGAAGUAUAGGGGCUGACGCCUGCCCAGUGCUGGAAGGUUAAGGGGAGAGGUUAGGCGCAAGCCGAAGCUUUGAGCCGAAGCCCCAGUGAACGGCGGCCGUAACAAUAACGGUCCUAAGGUAGCGAAAUUCCUUGUCGGGUAAGUUCCGACCCGCACGAAUGGCGUAAUGAGAGGAGCACUGUCUCAACGAGGGACUCGGCGAACAUUGAAGGACGUGUGAAGAUACACGUGACCCGCAGCGGGACAAAAAGACCCCGUGAAGCUUUACUACAACUUGCCAUUGAGUUAGGGCUAAACCUGUGUAGUAUAGGUGGGAGGCUUUGAAGCUGGGACGCCAGUCUCGGUGGAGCCACCGUUGAAAUACCACCCUGGUUUAUUCUUGGCUCUAACCUGUCGCCGUUAUCCGGCAUGGGAACAGUGGCUGGUGGGUAGUUUGACUGGGGCGGUCGCCUCCGAAAGCGUAACAGAGGCGCCCAAAGGUUCCCUCAGGCUGAAUGGAAACCAGCCGUUGAGUGUAAAGGCACAAGGGAGCUUGACUGCAAGACCAACAAGUCGCGCAGGGACGAAAGUCGGGCUUAGUGAUCCCACGGUUCAGAGUGGAAUGGCCGUGGCUUACCGGAUAAAAGCUACUCCGGGGAUAACAGGGUAGUCUGGUCCAAGAGUUCAUAUCGACGACCAGGUUCGCCACCUCGAUGUCGGCUCAUCACAUCCUGGGGCUGGAUAAGGUCCCAAGGGUUGGGCUGUUCGCCCAUUAAAGUGGUACGUGAGCUGGGUUCAGACCGUCGUGAAACAGGUCGGUCUCUAUCCGCUGUGGGCGUAAGGGAUUUGAGAGAAGCUGCCCCUAGUACGAGAGGACCGGGGUGGACGGACCUCUAGUGUGCCAGUUGUUCUGCCAAGAGCAUUGCUGGGUAGCUACGUCCGGCAGAGAUAACCGCUGAAAGCAUCUAAGUGGGAAACUCGUCUCAAGAUUAGAUCCCUCAUCCGUAUGGAGUAAGACCGCUAGAAGACGACUAGUUUGAUAGGCGGCAGGUGUAAGCGCAGUAAUGUGUUCAGCUUAGCCG